AACGAACGCUGGCGGCAUGCCUAACACAUGCAAGUCGAACGAGACCUUCGGGUCUAGUGGCGCACGGGUGCGUAACGCGUGGGAACCUGCCCUUAGGUUCGGAAUAACUCCCCGAAAGGGGUGCUAAUACCGGAUAAUGUCUUCGGACCAAAGAUUUAUCGCCUUUGGAUGGGCCUGCGUUGGAUUAGCUAGUUGGUAGGGUAAAAGCCUACCAAGGCGACGAUCCAUAGCUGGUCUGAGAGGAUGAUCAGCCACACUGGGACUGAGACACGGCCCAGACUACUACGGGAGGGAGCAGUGGGGAAUAUUGGACAAUGGGCGAAAGCCUGAACCAGCAAUGACGGGUGAGUGAUGAAGGCCUUAGGGUUGUAAAGCUAUUUUACCCGGGAUGAUAAUGACAGUACCGGGAGAAUAAGCUCCGGCUAACUCCGUG
rnacentral:rRNA from 1 species